ACCUUUCUCUGUCAUCUCCAUCACUCGCCGCCAUGGGUUUAAGCGGAGUAGUUGGCAGACGUCUGUACAUGAAACUCUUCACCGCCGCCAAUUAUUCAUCUACGGCGUCGAAUGAAAUUAAUCUGAUCAAACAAUUGAGAGAAAGAACAAGCGCUCCCAUUAAGGACGUGAAAGCUGCUCUCGUCGCUUCCAAUUGGGAUUUAGACGCAGCUCAGACGGAACUGAGAAAGAAGGGAAUCGUUCUCGCUUCGAAGAAAUCUUCUCGAACCGCUUCUGAAGGUUUACUCGCUCUCGCUCAAAACCACCACAAAACCGCUCUCAUUGAACUCAAUUGCGAGACUGAUUUCGUUGCCAGAAAUGACAUCUUUCAACAUUUGGCACGUUCUCUCGCUAAUCAAGCUUUGUUGUUGGACAGCAACUCUUCCUUUCACUUUGGUCCUCAAUCGUUAGAGGAGAUGAAAUUGAAUCUUGAACAUCCAAAGAUCAACGGAGAAACUACUGUUCAAAACGCUAUCACUGAAGUAGCUGCCAUCAUGGGAGAGAAUGUGAAGCUAAGAAGAGGUUAUCUGAUGCACGCACCAUCUAAUGGUCUUGUAUCUACAUAUCUUCAUACCAGUCCCCUACCUGGUUUGGGUCGCAUUGCUGGGAUCUUAUCUCUUGAAGUUGAUGGUGGUAAAACAGAAGCAGAUGCACUUCAACGUGUUGGAUCAGAAUUGGCCAUGCAUGUAGUGGCAGCAAAACCAUUAUUCUUAACAAAGGAACUUGUGUCUUUGGACGCAUUAGAAUAUGAGCGUGAAAUUCUUAAAUCUCAGGCAGAAGCCACUGGUAAACCUCAGAUGGCCAUAGAAAGAAUGGUUGAAGGCCGUCUACGCAAGUACUUUGAAAAUGUUGUGCUUAUGGACCAAAAGUUUGUUAUUAAUGAUACUAUAAAAGUGAAGGAGGUGCUGGAUAAUCUAUCCAAAGAGGUGGGUUCGUCCGUAAGGGUUGCAAGCUUUCUCAGAAUGGAAGUUGGGGAAGGAAUUGCAAGGCAAGAAACAGAUUCAUCAGAGUCUGUUGCUCAGGUAGCCUAAUUUAAGGCGAUUCAGUGCAAUAAUGGAGGAAACUUCUCAGAGAUAAAUCUGAGUCUGUUGCUCAGUAGCCUAAUUUAAGGUGAUUCAGUGCAAUAAUGGAGAAAACUUCUCAGAGAUAAUGUUUGUUUCGAGAGGCUUCUGUUCUCCAACUCAUUAUAUUUAAUGACUCAUGCUCCAUUUAUUUAUCCUGGAAAGUUUUGAGGGUCUAUUUCGUAGGAGAAAACUGAAGGGAAGGACAGAGGCUAUUGAUUAUUAUAAUCUUGAGUUGUUUGGUUUAAUAUUUUAGAGGAGAUAGCAGUAAAAUUUCUCAUUUAGCUCCCCCAUACAAGUAGGGAUAUUUA